rnacentral:rRNA from 1 species
AUUUGGAGCUGGCGGAAUGCUUUACACAUGCAAGUCGAACGGUAGAGGGGGCAACCCCUUGAGAGUGGCGAACGGGUGAGUAAUAUAUCGGAACGUGCCCAGUCGUGGGGGAUAACGUAGUGAAAAUUACGCUAAUACCGCAUACGAUCUAAGGAUGAAAGCGGGGGAUCGCAAGACCUCGCGCGACUGGAGCGGCCGAUAUCAGAUUAGGUAGUUGGUAGGGUAAAGGCCUACCAAGCCAACGAUCUGUAGCUGGUCUGAGAGGACGACCAGCCACACUGGAACUGAGACACGGUCCAGACUCCUACGGGAGGCAGCAGUGGGGAAUUUUGGACAAUGGGCGAAAGCCUGAUCCAGCCAUUCCGCGUGCAGGAUGAAGGCCCUCGGGUUGUAAACUGCUUUUGUACAGAACGAAAAGGUUUCUAUUAAUACUAGGAGCUCAUGACGGUACUGUAAGAAUAAGCACCGGCUAACUACGUGCCAGCAGCCGCGGUAAUACGUAGGGUGCAAGCGUUAAUCGGAAUUACUGGGCGUAAAGCGUGCGCAGGCGGUUAUAUAAGUCAGAUGUGAAAUCCCCGGGCUCAACCUGGGAACUGCAUUUGAGACUGUAUAGCUAGAGUACGGUAGAGGGGGAUGGAAUUCCGCGUGUAGCAGUGAAAUGCGUAGAUAUGCGGAGGAACACCGAUGGCGAAGGCAAUCCCCUGGACCUGUAC